rnacentral:rRNA from 1 species
GACGAACGCUGGCGGCGUGCUUAACACAUGCAAGUCGAGCGGUAAGGCCCUUUCGGGGGUACACGAGCGGCGAACGGGUGAGUAACACGUGGGUGACCUGCCCUUAGCUCUGGGAUAAGCCUGGGAAACUGGGUCUAAAUACCGGAUAUGACUCCAUGACGCAUGGUUUGUAGGGGUGGAAAGCCUUGUGCGGCUAGGGAUGGGCCUGCGGCCUAUCAGCUUGUUGGUGGGGUGAUGGCCUACCAAGGCGACGACGGGUAGCCGGCCUGAGAGGGCGACCGG